GCAAACUUGGUCAUUUAGAGGAAGUAAAAGUCGUAACAAGGUUUCCGUAGGUGAACCUGCGGAAGGAUCAUUAUCGUAUCUCCCCGGGGGGUCUGCGUGCCCCCGCUCCGGUUCCGGCCGUGCAGCGGGUGCCGUGGCCCCUCGGAAAAACCUCGCAAACCCCACUGUGCACCUUUCGCGGCAGAGGGCGCGGCGCGAGCCCCGCCCGAAGCUGCGGUUCUCACACACGCGGUUUUAUCGAAUGUGAAGCGGACGCUGUUCCGCCCAACAACACUUACAACUUUCAACAACGGAUCUCUUGGCUCUCGCAUCGAUGAAGAACGCAGC
rnacentral:misc_RNA from 1 species